AUUCCAGCUCCAAUAGCGUAUAUUAAAGUUGUUGCAGUUAAAAAGCUCGUAGUUGAACUUUGGGCCCGGUUGGCCGGUCCGAUUUUUUCGUGUACUGGAUUUCCAACGGGGCCUUUCCUUCUGGCUAACCUUGAGUCCUUGUGGCUCUUGGCGAACCAGGACUUUUACUUUGAAAAAAUUAGAGUGUUCAAAGCAGGCGUAUUGCUCGAAUAUAUUAGCAUGGAAUAAUAGAAUAGGACGUUUGGUUCUAUUUUGUUGGUUUCUAGGACCAUCGUAAUGAUUAAUAGGGACGGUCGGGGGCAUCAGUAUUCAAUUGUCAGAGGUGAAAUUCUUGGAUUUAUUGAAGACUAACUACUGCGAAAGCAUUUGCCAAGGACGUUUUCAUUA
rnacentral:rRNA from 1 species